UAAGGAAUAUUGGUCAAUGGACGAAAGUCUGAACCAGCCAUCCCGCGUGCAGGAUGAAGGUCCUAUGGAUUGUAAACUGCUUUUAGCAGAGAAGAAAAGCAUCCUUUUAAGGGUGUCUGACGGUAUCUGCGGAAUAAGCACCGGCUAACUCCGUGCCAGCAGCCGCGGUAAUACGGAGGGUGCAAGCGUUAUCCGGAAUCACUGGGUUUAAAGGGUGCGUAGGCGGAAUAUUAAGUCAGUGGUGAAAGCC
rnacentral:rRNA from 1 species